rnacentral:antisense_RNA from 1 species
GAAGCACAGAGCGAUGUAGCUGUGUGGCCCCAGAGCCAGGGCCAGACACCUGGGUAGAGACAGGGUUUCGCCAUGUUGGCCAGGCUGGUCUCGAACUCCUGACCUCAAGUGAUCCGCCUGCCUUGGCCUCCCAAAGUGCUAGGAUUACAGACGUGAGCCACCACGCCCGGCUGGUUGCUGGCAGAGGUGGUUGGGGCUAUGUGCCUGGAGUGAAGAUUCUGCCCAUUGGUCAAGAGACCUCCCUCUCAGAUGCUGGCUCUGCCCCUGCCUUUGGGGGUCGACCCUUGUACUCGCAGGACCUUAGGUGACUCUGACUUUGUCAAAGGAAAAAUUUCUGCAUGUGCACACACAGAUCUUGGAAGUUUAUUCAUCUCAGCAGAGGCAGACAGGAGCAUCAACAGCCUUGGGGACAGCAGCAGUGGUGGUGGAGUCUGACUCUGUCACCCAGGCUGAAGUGCAGUGGCACAAUCUUGGCUCACUGCAACCUCCGCCUCCCAGGUCCAAGCCAUUCUUGUGCCUUAGCCUCCUGAGUAGCUGGGAUUGCAGAUUCUACUUCUCUGAUCAUCCAGGAAACCAAUCUGCCUGAGGACGAGUCAUACUCUGUCCUCCCACCCCAGGCUAGAGAGUGGUAUCUGUCUUUCCACAAGUUGCCACCCCUUCUGCCCUGGGAACCUGAGUUGCCUGUGCUUCAACACUAUUCUUCAUUCUGCCUUUCACAAAAUGUACCACCUAAGUGAUAAU